UACAGAGGUCUCAAGCGUUUGUUCGGAUUCAUUGGGCGUAAAGGGUGCGUAGGCGGCGCGGUAAGUCGGGUGUGAAAUCUUGGAGCUUAACUCCGAAACUGCAUUCGAUACUGCCGUGCUUGAGGACUGGAGAGGAGACUGGAAUUUACGGUGUAGCGGUGAAAUGCGUAGAUAUCGUAAGGAAGACCAGUGGCGAAAGGCGGG
rnacentral:rRNA from 1 species